rnacentral:rRNA from 1 species
UAGGGAAUCUUCCACAAUGGACGCAAGUCUGAUGGAGCAACGCCGCGUGAGUGAAGAAGGUCUUCGGAUCGUAAAGCUCUGUUGUUGGUGAAGAAGGAUAGAGGCAGUAACUGGUCUUUAUUUGACGGUAAUCAACCAGAAAGUCACGGCUAACUACGUGCCAGCAGCCGCGGUAAUACGUAGGUGGCAAGCGUUGUCCGGAUUUAUUGGGCGUAAAGCGAGCGCAGGCGGAAUGAUAAGUCUGAUGUGAAAGCCCACGGCUCAACCGUGGAACUGCAUCGGAAACUGUCAUUCUUGAGUGCAGAAGAGGAGAGUGGAACUCCAUGUGUAGCGGUGGAAUGCGUAGAUAUAUGGAAGAACACCAGUGGCGAAGGCGGCUCUCUGGUCUGCAACUGACGCUGAGGCUCGAAAGCAUGGGUAGCGAACAGGAUUAGAUACCCUGGUAGUCCAUGCCGUAAACGAUGAGCGCUAGGUGUU